GAUCCUGGCUCAGAAUCAACGCUGGCGGCGUGCCUAACACAUGCAAGUCGCACGAGAAAGGGGAGCAAUCCCUGAGUACAGUGGCGCACGGGUGAGUAACACGUGAAUUAUCUACCUCCGAGUGGGGAAUAACUGAGAGAAAUCUUAGCUAAUACCGCAUAACACUUACGAGUCAAAGCAGCAAUGCGCUUGGAGAGGAGUUCGCGGCCGAUUAGUUAGUUGGCGGGGUAAUGGCCCACCAAGACGAUGAUCGGUAUCCGGCCUGAGAGGGCGCACGGACACACUGGAACUGAAACACGGUCCAGACUCCUACGGGAGGCAGCAG
rnacentral:rRNA from 1 species